rnacentral:lncRNA from 1 species
CCAGAGUUCCACGCCUCCACCAGACCACCACCCAUUUGUCCCCGACCCCGACCGCUGCUGCACAUCAUCCUCCCGCCGCUCGGCGUCUUCCUCCGAUUCGGCUGCUGCAGAGAGCAGAGUAAGCACCUCUUCCCAGGCACCCGAUCAUCCCAUGAUCCGUUCCUCUGUGCACACGCCUCUUGGCCCGGACUCCCUCGUUCGCACCGCGCGUGCCUGCCUCUGCCUAUAGCGUCGCGCUAGGUUUCGGUAGGCGAAUCAUUCGAUUUUUCAAGCUAUUCGGACGGUGCUCGAUAGGAAUUCCAACGCAUAGGAGUAUCAAACGAUUAACUUAGGGCCUGUUUGUUUACCCCAUAGAUUAUAUAAUCUGGAUUAAAUAAUCCUAAAAGACAAACAAACAGUCUAGCUUAUUUGCCCAGAUUAUAUAAUCUAACCCCUUGGAUUAUGAUAAUCCAUAAGCAAGUGAGGAUGUGCUUAUUUCAGAUUAUUUUUUUCCCACUUCCCCAC